GCCAGCCUGAACUAGAGUGAUAGCCUGUCUCAAAAAAAACACCAAAACCAAAACAGCACUGUCAAGCAUAUACAAGGUUUGACCCUAGAACAGAAAUGAAGACAAGGAAAGAGGGAGAGAAGGGAGGAAAGAAGAGAAAGAAAAGAAAGGGAGAAAAGAAGGAAAACUUGGCAUUUAUAAAUAGCUCUUCAUAAGUUUGCAAGAUCCUCAACAAAAGCAAAUCACACACAUGAAAAGAAUGUACAUUGUACAUCACUCAGAAUUUAUUCUAAGAAUGCAGUUAUUUUUAACAUCUGAAAAAACAAUCAAUAAAACAUACCACAGAUCAAUAAAAGUAAAAUAACCAUUUGAAUUGAUGCAGAAAAAGCAUUUGACAAGAUCCAACAACACUCUUUCAUUAUAAGAACAUUCCAGGGACCAGUGAGACCACUUAGCAGGUAAGUCACUUGCUACACAAGCCAGGUGACCUGAUUCUCCUGAACCCACUUAAAAGUGGAAGGAGAAAGCUGACCUCAUGAACUUGUCCUAUCACUUCCAUAUGCACACCAUGGCACACACACUCAAAUACUAUACACACACUGUCAUUACACAUGCAACCAUGGCACACACACUCACAUACUAUACACACACAGUCAUUACACAUGCAACCAUGGCACACACACUCACAUACUAUACACACACAGUCAUAACACAUGCAACCAUGGCACACAUACUCACAUGCUAUACACACACACACAGUCUUAACAAAUGCAACCAUGACACACACAUACUCACUUACUACAGAUACACAGUCAUAACACAUGCAACCAUGACACACAUACUCACAUACUACACACACACAGUCAUAACACAUGCAACCAUGGCACACACACUCACAUACUACACACACACACAGAGUCAUAACACAUGCAACCAUGGCACACACACACACAC
rnacentral:lncRNA from 1 species